ACCAGAACAACCCAAAACAACCAGAAAACAAAUGACAAAAUGGCUAUACCAUGAACAUGCUGAUAAAACUACCAGCUGGAAACACACACACUACCUUUCAUAAAAAGGAUCGAUGAUUCAGUAAGUAGAAACAAAAGCACAAAAAGCAGAGCCCGGAUCAUGAGGUCAGGAGACGGAGACCAUCCUGGCUGACACGGUGAAACCCCGUCUCUACUAAAAACACAAAAAUUAGCCGGGCGUGGUGGCGGGUGCCUGUGGUCCCAGCUACUCGGGAGGCUGAGGCAGGAGAAUGGUGCGAACCCGGGAGGCGGAGUUUGCGGUGAGCGGAGAUUGUGCCACUGCACUCCAGCCUGGGCAACAGAGCGAGACUCCAUCUCAAAAAACAAAAAAACAAUAAAACAAAAAAAAAGCAGAGCCAAGAAUCGCAGGGAAUUUAUUCCCAGUCUUGAAAUCCAAUCAAGAAGUUCCCAAUAUUUUCCUGACUGGGUUUCAGAGCUGCUUUAGCCUAGUGAUUCCUUUCUACCUUCCAUUCUCCCCUUUUGCAAUGGUCAUGUUUAUAGUAGUUUAGGAUUAUUAUCAUACACGGGCCCCACCACCCACUAUCUCUCUAGGUUCUCAAGCUCACAGAUGGGGAGGAAUUUUUCUCUAGGAGAAUAAUUCACCCAGUAGCCUCAUCCAUGCCUUGACUUAAUGUAGACAGAAGAUGAGAUGCUGGUCUCUAGUCAGUGCAAGUGUUUUCCCCUUGGAAGGCACAUGAAUCAUUGGGGCCAGAGGGCAGAUUGUUUCCAAGCAAAGGAUAAGAUAGCCUUCAUGAUUCCUAUAGUCUGGCUGUAUAAAGUCCACUCCUUGAGUGUGAGUGGGACCUUGUAAUUUGCUUCUAGCCAAGAGAAUAUGUUAAAGAUCACAGGACUUUGCAGAUGUAAUUAAAGUCCCAAAUCAGUUGAUUUUGAGUUCAUCAAAAUCAGGGAGACCUUAUUUCAGUGGGCCUGACUUAAUCAGGUAAAAGGACUUUUAAAAGGUACUGGGCCUUCCCUUAAAACAAAAGACUUCCUUUGCCAGCUUGAUGAGACAAGUGACGUGUUGAAAAGGAACCCACGACAAGCACCUGCAGAAUGCCUCUAGGAACUGUCUGUGAUCUCAGGACCUGAGAGCUGCCUCUAGCUGACAGCCAGCAAAAACCCACAUGGAAAGUAUUUAUACCAACAACCCAAAUGAACUUGGAUAAAAAUGGGUUUUUCCCCAGUUAAGCCUCCAGAUGAGAAUGCAGCCCAUGCCUGGACCGAACCCUGGCAAGACUCUGAGUAGUGGAUCCAGCUCACCUGCGCCUAUAUCCAGACCCAUAGAAACUGUAAAAUAUUAUGUAUAUUGUGUUUUAAACCCUGGAGGUUGCAGUAAUUUGUUAUACAGCAAAGAAAACAAUACAUAGUUGUUUUUUGAAAUGUUGUAACUCUGAAAUAAUAAAAUGAAGAAU
rnacentral:lncRNA from 10 species